rnacentral:rRNA from 1 species
UACGGAAGGCAGCAGUGGGGAAUAUUGCACAAUGGGCGAAAGCCUGAUGCAGCUAUGCCGCGUGUAUGAAGAAGGCCUUAGGGUUGUAAAGUACUUUCAUCGGGGAGGAAAAAACAAAACUAAUAAUUUUAUUUCUUGACGUUACCCGAAAAAGAAGCACCGGCUAACUCCGUGCCAGCAGCCGCGGUAAUACGGAGGGUGCUAGCGUUAAUCAGAAUUACUGGGCGUAAAGAGCACGUAGGUGGCUUUUUUAAGUCAGAUGUGAAAUCCCUGGGCUUAACCUAGGAACUGCAUUUUGAAACUGAAAUACUAGAGUAUCGUAGAGGGAGGUAGAAUUCUAGGUGUAGCGGUGAAAUGCGUAGAUAUCUGGAGGAAUACCUGUGGCGAAAGCGGCCUCCUAAACGAAUACUGACACUGAGGUGCGAAAGCGUGGGGAGCAAACAGGGAUUAGAUACC